GAUGAACGCUGGCGGCGGGCCUAACACAUGCAAGUCGAGCGGAAGCACGAUAAGAUUGUUUCUCUGAUGUUGGCGGGGGACGGGCGAGUGAGACGUACAUAACCUCCCUAUAAGACUGGGAUGACAACGGGAAACCGGAGCUAAUACUAGUGCAUAUUUUCAACCGCAGAGUGCAAACGAGAAAGACGGUAUUGCUGUCAGUUAUAGAUGGAUCCGCGCUGCAUUAGCUAGUUGGUAAGGUAACGGCUCACCAAGGCAACGAUCCGUAGCCGACCUGAGAGGAUGAUCAGCCACACUGGAACUGAGACACGGUCCAGACUCCUACGGGAGGCAGCAGUGGGGAAUCUUCCACAAUGGGCGAAAGCCUGACGGAGCCACGCCGCGUGGGUGAUGAAGGUCUUCGGAUCGUAAAACUCUGUUAUUUGGAAAGAACAUAUGUGUGAGUAACUGUGGACUUUUUGACGGUACCUAAUCAAUAAGCCCCGGCUAACUACGUG
rnacentral:rRNA from 1 species